CGCGUGCGCAGCGGCCCCGACCCCGCCUCAGUCUUCCUGGGCGGCGGUGGGUGUCCGCUUUUCUCUGCUCUUCGACUGCACCGCACUCGCGCGUGACCCUGACUCCCCUUAGUCAGCUCAGCGGUGCUGCCAUGGCGUGGCGGCAGCGCGAAGCCGGCGUCGGGGCUUGCGGCGUGUUGGCUUUGGCGUUGCUCGCCCUGGCCCUGUGCGUGCCCGGGGCCCGGGGCCGGGCUCUCGAGUGGUUCUCGGCCGUGGUAAACAUCGAGUACGUGGACCCGCAGACCAACCUGACGGUGUGGAGCGUCUCGGAGAGUGGCCGCUUCGGCGACAGCUCGCCCAAGGAGGGCGCGCAUGGCCUGGUGGGCGUCCCGUGGGCGCCCGGCGGAGACCUCGAGGGCUGCGCGCCCGACACGCGCUUCUUCGUGCCCGAGCCCGGCGGCCGAGGGGCCGCGCCCUGGGUCGCCCUGGUGGCUCGCGGGGGCUGCACCUUCAAGGACAAGGUGCUGGUGGCGGCGCGGAGGAACGCCUCGGCCGUCGUCCUCUAUAAUGAGGAGCGCUACGGGAACAUCACCUUGCCCAUGUCUCACGCGGGAACAGGAAAUAUAGUGGUCAUUAUGAUUAGCUAUCCAAAAGGAAGAGAAAUUUUGGAGCUGGUGCAAAAAGGAAUUCCAGUAACGAUGACCAUAGGGGUUGGCACCCGGCAUGUACAGGAGUUCAUCAGCGGUCAGUCUGUGGUGUUUGUGGCCAUUGCCUUCAUCACCAUGAUGAUUAUCUCGUUAGCCUGGCUAAUAUUUUACUAUAUACAGCGUUUCCUAUAUACUGGCUCUCAGAUUGGAAGUCAGAGCCAUAGAAAAGAAACUAAGAAAGUUAUUGGCCAGCUUCUACUUCAUACUGUAAAGCAUGGAGAAAAGGGAAUUGAUGUUGAUGCUGAAAAUUGUGCAGUGUGUAUUGAAAAUUUCAAAGUAAAGGAUAUUAUUAGAAUUCUGCCAUGCAAGCAUAUUUUUCAUAGAAUAUGCAUUGACCCAUGGCUUUUGGAUCACCGAACAUGUCCAAUGUGUAAACUUGAUGUCAUCAAAGCCCUAGGAUAUUGGGGAGAGCCUGGGGAUGUACAGGAGAUGCCUGCUCCAGAAUCUCCUCCUGGAAGGGAUCCAGCUGCAAAUUUGAGUUUAACUUUACCAGAUGAUGACGGAAGUGAUGAGAGCAGUCCACCAUCAGCCUCCCCUGCUGCAUCUGAGCCACAGUGUGAUCCCAGCUUUAAAGGAGAUGCAGGAGAAAAUACGGCAUUGCUAGCUAAUGAAGCUGACUUUUAAAAAGAAGGCUGUGAGCUUUGCAGAUGCUGCUGCCGCCCAGAGCCCCCUGCUUCCAGCCAUGGUCAACCCCACCAUGUUUUUCCACAUUGCUGUCGAUGGCGAGCCCUUGGGCUGUGUCUCCUUUGAGGUAAGGGGCCUGGAAAGCAAGAAGUGACUGCUCAUCUAAUCCAUAAAACUAUGUUAACAGAUUGGAGCUGUUUGCAGACAAGGUUCCAAAGACAGCAGAAAAUUUCCGUGCUCUGAGCACUGGAGAAAAAGGAUUUGGUUAUAAGGGUUCCUGCUUUCACAGAAUUAUUCCAGGGUUUACGUGUCAGAGUGGUGACUUCACACACCAUACAGCAUUGGUGGCAAGUCCAUCUGCAGGGAGAAAUUUGAUGACAAGAACUUCAUCCUGAAGCAUACGGGUCCUGGCAUCUUGUCCAUGGCAAAUGCUGGACCCAGCAUGAACGUUUCCCAGUUUUUUAUCUGCCCUGCCAAGAUGCCAAGACAGAGUGGUUGGAUUGCAAGCAUGUGGUCUUUGGCAAGGUGAAAGAUGGCAUGAAUAUUGUGGAGGUCAUGGAGCACUUGGGGUCCAGGAGUGGCCAAGAUCAGCAAUCAGCAAGAAGAUCACCAUUGCUGACUGGACAACUGCAAUAAAUUUGACGGGUGUUUUCUCUUAAAAAAAAAAAAAAUACUGUGACAGACCAAGGAGCCAUGUGUUCACAUGUCAUGUGGACCAGUAUUUAACUGUGGAAACCGCGGGUGGCAUGGAGAAGGAGGCAGUGUCCGUGACUGUGCCGCUCUCUGCAGCCCCCUGCCUGCUGUCCUGCUUCCUCGGCUCCUCGGUGUCUGGACUGGCGUUCUGGGUUUCCUAGCAGAAAACUAAUGGGCCAGAGAGGUGUAAAAACACACACCACUUGGCAGGUAAUAAUUUCCCCGCAUGCUUUCUUUUUAGGGAUCCUGAACACACAGCCUUUCCCAAAAGACUGCUCCCUCCAGCUACUGAGGAAUGAUGACAAGAAAAGGCCGAAUUGCAGUGUCUCCAUCAGCAGUUUGCUCUCUGUGGGCACACGAUGACAAAAUAUCCUGAAGCGAACCACUAGUCUGACCUCAGUAGCAGGAUUGGAAGCUUCAUGCCAUGGGAGCUGUCAAGAAAGGCAUCCCAAAGAGAACUGAAAUUUAAAAAUAAUAAUAGACCUUCAGGAAUAGGUGAUUGUCCCCAUGUACUGGAGAUGAAAUACCCAAUGUAACCAAAUUCCCCAGUAAGAUCACUUAGUUUGGCAAUAGUCUUUUCUUUUGAGCAUGUUGAAGUUUAUUUGCUCAAUGAAGGCUGAAAUUAUAAGUCAGUAUAUAUGUAUUACUAAGUAGAACUUGAGGUAAUUAUAUGUUUUAGUCAAAAGCAGUUUCUGUUGGCUUGGUAUAAACCCUACUUUGUGAUUUGCUAAAGCACAGGAUGUUGACUCAAACCAAAACUAGUUUUGUAGUUAAUAUGUGUUGUGUUUCUGUGACUUAAUAGUCAAGUUUUUUUAAAAACACUUGUCACCAUAUUUUGAAAAAUACUAACAUUUGGAUUACUAGUUAUAAAAGUGUAAUUUCUACUGUGUCAUAAUCAGCCAUGCAGCUGGAGACUUGCCCUCUUUGUACAGCAAAGUUGUGAAAAAAAGUAUUUGCACUACAUUUAUUUAAACAUUAGGAAAAAAAGCCAACCCAUGCUUUUCUUUGCCGAGAUGUAGGGCUGUAUUAUUGGCUAGUGAGAAGCCUGGGAACACUAGGACUUUGUGUGGGCUGAUUGCAGGUAUCAGAUCCGGGAUUAUACAGGUACUCUUGGAAGUAUCUUGGGGAUUUUCCUGAUAAGAACAGUAGUGAUUGCAUAAAAAGGACAGGAUAUAAAGUGAAAUCAGUAAAAUAUGUUAGUAGACAGAGGGUGCUGAAAUUUUAACAAAUGUGUAAAAAGUUCUUCCUAUGCAUUAAUUUUCCAGAUACCCUUAAAAUGUUUAAGGAAUGUAAUUCAAAAUACUGUUUAAAAGAGACAUGUGACCAUCAUUCUCCCAGAGAAUGUGAAUCAUUUAGUGUGCUACUUAAAAUUAGGUGUAAAUGUAUAUGUACACUGUAAGAAUAAAAAUCGAUACCAUUUCUUUAAAGCUUUCUAAAAUAAAUUUAAUUAUUUCUAAUAGUUACAUUUUAGGCUCUCAAACUAUUUUUCUUUUGAAAUAACUGUUCUACCCUAAGAUGUUACUCAUUGCUGUCUUCUUUUUAACAGGUGAUUUGAAGAUAUUAAAGCUAGAAAUUGGAACUAGAAAAUCAAAAGAAUUCAAGGCAUUUUAACGUGACAGUUGAACUCAUUUGAUUAUACUUAAAAAAGUUUAUUGCAGUUAUUGACUCUCAAUUUUUUUUUUUUUUUUUUUUUGAGUGCAGUGGUGCCAUUGUUGCUCACUGCAGCCUCAAUCUUCCAGGCUCAAGAAAUCCUCCCACCUCAGCUUCCAAAGUAGCUGGGACUACAGGUGCAUGCCACACCCUGAUAAUUUUUUUUUCCCCAAUAUAAACGAGGUCUUGCUAUGUCCUCCAGUCUGGUCUUGAACUCAAGUGAUCCACCCACCCUGGCCUCCCAAAGUGCUGGGAUUACAGGCGUGAGCCACCAAACCCAGCCACCAAUUUUACUUUAGGUAAACUUUUAUUUUCAAGCUUUUGUUGGUGUUGCAAGUGUAAAUCUCUGUUUUAUAAAAUGUUCUAUAAAUAUAACCACUAUUCCUUGUAAGCUAUUUAAAAUAAAUUUUAAAGCCUUUCAACUAAACACCAA